rnacentral:rRNA from 1 species
GGCGGCGUGCCUAAUACAUGCAAGUCGAACGGAGAUUAAGUAGCUUGCUAUUUAAUCUUAGUGGCGCACGGGUGAGUAAUAUAUAGCUAACUUGCCCAUUACUAAGGGACAACAGUUGGAAACGACUGCUAAUACCUUAUACUCCGUAUCUAUAUAAGUAGAUACGGGAAAGUUUUUCGGUAAUGGAUAGGGCUAUAUCGUAUCAGCUAGUUGGUAAGGUAAUGGCUUACCAAGGCUAUGACGCGUAACUGGUAUGAGAGGAUGAUCAGUCACACUGGAACUGAGACACGGUCCAGACUCCUACGGGAGGCAGCAGUAGGGAAUAUUGCUCAAUGGGGGAAACCCUGAAGCAGCAACGCCGCGUGGAGGAUGACACUUUUCGGAGCGUAAACUCCUUUUCUUGGGAAAGAAUUAUGAC